rnacentral:rRNA from 1 species
UCGAACGAGAAAGUGGAGCAAUCCAUGAGUAAAGUGGCGACCGGGUGAGUAACACGUGACUAACCUACCUUCGAGUGGGGGAUAACCUCGGGAAACCGGGGCUAAUACCGCAUAAUAUCUUCGGGAUGAGAAGCCGAAGAUCAAAGGAGCAAUUCGCUGGAAGAGGGAGUCGCGGCUGAUUAGCUAGUUGGCGGGGUAAUGGCCCACCAAGGCUUUGAUCGGUAGCCGGCCUGAGAGGGCGCACGGCCACACUGGAACUGAAACACGGUCCAGACUCCUACGGGAGGCAGCAGUGGGGAAUUUUGCGCAAUGGGGGAAACCCUGACGCAGCAACGCCGCGUGGAGGAUGAAGUCCCUUGGGACGUAAACUCCUUUCGACCCGGACGAUAAUGACGGUACGGGUGGAAGAAGCCCCGGCUAACUUCGUGCCAGCAGCCGCGGUAAUACGAGGGGGGCAAGCGUUGUCGGAAUUAUUGGGCGUAAAGGGCGCGUAGGCGGUGCGGUAAGUCACCUGUGAAAUCUCCGGGCUUAACUCGGAGCCUGCAGGCGAAACUGCCGUGCUUGAGUGUGGGAAGGUGCGUGGAAUUUCCCGGUGUAACGGUGAAAAUGCGGUAGAUAUCGGGAAGGAACACCUGUGGGAAAGGCGGCGCACUGGACCAAAUGACGCUGAGGCGCGAAAGCUAGGGGAGCAAACAGGA